rnacentral:rRNA from 1 species
UACGGGGGGAGCAAACGUUGUUCGGAAUCACUGGGCGUAAAGGGCGUGUAGGCGGCUGGAUAAGUGGGAUGUUAAAUCCCCCGGCUCAACCGGGACCUGCAUCUCAUACUGUUCAGCUCGAGCACAUCAGAGGAGACUGGAAUUCCCGGUGUAGCGGUGAAAUGCGUAGAUAUCGGGAGGAACAACAGUGGCGAAGGCGAGUCUCUGGGAUGAUGCUGACGCUGAGGCGCGAAAGCCAGGGGAGCAAACGGG